AUUGAACGCUGGCGGCAGGCCUAACACAUGCAAGUCGAACGAGUGGCGGACGGGUGAGUAAUUUCUGGGAAACUGCCUGAUGGAGGGGGAUAACUACUGGAAACGGUAGCUAAUACCGCAUACCAUCGGAUGUGCCCAGAUGGGAUUAGCUAGUAGGUGGGGUAAAGGCUCACCUAGGCGACGCUCCCUAGCUGGUCUGAGAGGAUGACCAGCCACACUGGAAAGGAGACACGGUCCAGACUCCUACGGGAGUCAGGAGUGGGGAAUAGUGGACUAUGGGCGAAAGCCUGAUGCAGCCAUGCCGCGUGUAUGAAGAAGGCCUUCGGGUUGUAAAGUACUUUCAGCGGGGAGGGGUUACCCGCAGAAGAAGCACCAGCUAACUCCGUGCCAGCAGCCGCGGUAAUAC
rnacentral:rRNA from 1 species